rnacentral:lncRNA from 1 species
UCACGAGUGGUGUGCAUGGUUCUGCACCGCUUGCGGUGCACAGAAUUUCUCUUAGGCCAAUACAGUCUUCCCUUCAUCAUCUAGUCUAUUUUAUUCAAAACAGCUCAAUGGCCCAAAUAUGUAAGUAAGAUACAGUGCAAGCAUUGCCUCCCACAUCCUAUUGUUCGAUGAUCAAGAGGGCGACAGCAUAUAGCUGGUUCCAUAUCUUAGUAUCAAUCUUUGAUUUGGCCAAACUCUUAGAUGUGAAUCACAUUUUUAUCAACCUGAUUUGAUUAAGCUUUACAACAAUUUUCAUGAUUUGACACUCAGGUUUCCCAUUCAAAUACACUUGCUAGUCAAGAUUUUAGAUUAAACUUGGUUUUCUUACCUUUGUGGAGAUAGAAGUAAUGGAACCUUGGUCUUAUCACUACUUUUCAACCAUUUUUCCAAUACCACUCAAUUAAUACCCCAAUCCGUGGAAAUCUUCCACUAAGGCUAUUAAUUAAUCAGGUAUGCAUCAAAUUGAAGAUAGUUAAGGCUCAGUUAGUGCAAUUUUCAUUACUGUACUGUAAUGGCAUUCUUUGUUGCUAAGAUCCCUGAUCCAGUAAAUAUCUUCAUUCAUUUUUUCCACUAGGAUCAUUUAAUAUCUUCUGCCACGUGCCACAACCCCUUUUGAUGCCUCCUCUAAUUGGAGGAUGGGUUUACAUGACAAACGUGGCCCGAAGCAAUCUGCAAUUCACAUAUCUUUUUUCCAUAUGCAACCAUCUUCUUGAUCCUAUUAUAAAGUAUAGUGCAUCUCCCUUUCUUAUCUUCACUUUUGACGAUGAGCCUUCUUCCCCUAAUCUUCAUCCGAAACCAUAACCAUGAAGUCUGGUUCAUCUUCUUCUCUAUCCAUGGCCGAGAAAUCGAAGAGACAAAGAGACACCUAGAAUCAUCAAGGGCUCUUUGCUCUGUUAAUCCUAAGAUAUUUAUUUCCUAUUCCUCCAGCCUCAUGAUUCUAGGACCAAUCUUUGAAUUGGGCUUCCACCCUCAUUUUGCUCGAUUUUUUCCCUUCACUAUAAAGAGACCUUCCUGUAUUCGGCUAUCUAGCUUCAGGGCCAUAAUGGGAUGGCGUCAACCCGCAUCGAACCUUGCCCACUAGUUCUGGGUUGACCGUAUAACAACCCUUAAGAAGUCGAUCUCAGAUGAAAAUAGAUUUCUCAACAUCAAAAUUCUCUAGGAUUCUAAUGGUAGAGAAUCAUUCCCUUCUAUUGGUAUAUGCUUUUGGUCAUCCUCUGCCAACACUUUUUUAUCUAAACCAUGACACGUGCACCCCUACUCUUUAAUUUGAGCCUUCCUUUUGACCUUCGGCCGAUAGAUGAUGAAUUUUUGACUGUAAUUAAGGUUUUCAUGCCUACCAACAACUUUGACCUUUAUUUGGAUAAACUCACUAUUUAUACCUCCUACAUAGAUUCUCAUGGGAUUCAUGAUGGCCCCAUGACUCAUCAAGAACUAGAAAGUUUAUAUAUUGCCUGGGUUUGUAAAUAUCAACUCUACUAUAAGUUAAAAUGGCGAAAGUUCACCUACACCUUCCCGUGAUGCUUGCCAAAGAUCGACUAAUCGCUCUCACUCCCAUUAUCCUCAAAUCCUUAUUUUGGAGCCUUAAAGAAUUAUAUUCCAAUUCUACUGGCGAUGAAGAACCCUUAGAUGUUUUCCAAAUUUAGAGAUGUGCAGACCAAUGAUGGAUAAGAAGAUCGAGGCAGUUUGAAUUUGAAGAAUGGCCGCCCAUCCUAGAAUGAGGCUCUUUCUCUGAAAGCUUGCAUGGAACCGAUUUCCAACAUGCACGCUUCUCAAAGAUAGAGACAUGGAGCUUUCGAUUUCUUAUCUGAUUUGUGGGCUAAAGGAUGAGUCGACGAAGUACGCCAUUCUGUGUUAUCUGAGGGCAAGACUGAUUUAGAGAAAGAUGGGCAACCAGUCUUGGAAGACAAGUAGUGGCCCUUGACUAGAAUACUUUCUCGAUGCGAUCUAUCAAAGUAUGGCUACAAAGAUGACCCCUAUCUGGAGGGGUAGGAUGGCUUAUGUCACCUACUAGAUAUAGCUUUCCAGGAAUAGCUUGGGCUUCGAAGGUGAGAUAGUGCCUAUACACCAGAUGUUGGAGAAAGUCAUCUGCUCGGUUGCAGAUUAUAGGCAUUUCAACAUUGCCGACCCAUCUUUUGACGCUCCUAAUCUCUGCGACUCUUAUACUGCUCCUACAGCAAUUUGAAGGAUUAUUUUCAUAUCCUAGGAGCCCCUUCCUUCACAAUUUGCCAAGAUGGAUUUCGACGGCAAUAUUAGGGAUCAUAGGGGUAGUGCGGACUUUAUCAUCCAAGAUCUGAAUGCCAAAUUAUUGAUGAUAGGGGGCUCUUAUCUUUUUGAGCCUUCUGUCUCAGGAACUGAGUUUCAUGCCACCUAAGCGAUUAUUAUCUAUGCUAGACAGGAGCUACAGAUAGAAAGAAUUUUUAUAGAGAGAGAUUCUGCCACUAUUAUUGACUAGAUUCGAGACAACACGAAGCGACUGGAGGCUCAUUCGCUUCUCCAUGAUAUCUAGACUACUCUUCAUCUUUCAGUCAUGGUAUCGGUCUAGUAUGUUUAUCAGGAAACGAACAGUAUAGUAAAUUAGAUCACAUUUUAUAUAGCGAAGCACUCUAAAGACUAGAUCUGGAGAUAAAACAAGACGUGCCUACCGACCCUGUGGAAUUCUUUAUAUUCUGACUUAAUGGACUGUUCUCACAUCAGAGUGAUGUAACCGCCCACGCAUACCAAAAAAAAGAACAACAUGUUAAAAUAUAACAAUGUAUAAUGCAUGUUCUCUAAUUAUUCAAAAAGAUAAUGAAUGCUGCAGCUACCUGCUUGAAGUGUCAACAAUUCUCUCCUUGUUUGUGAAGAAUCACAUUACCUUAAACAACAACAAUCCUUCAUUAUCUUUCGCAUCAGUGUAGAGUUUUUGAUUUCUGAUCAGUCUCCAUAUCCUCUUAAGGGACAUUUCGUAUAGGAUGAUCUAUCUAAGAUCAAAGAUGAUGUAGAUGGAGAUGAUAAGAUCACCAUAUUUGAUUACAUCAUGAUGAUCCUAUAUGACAAUAAUUUUAAAUUAUCUUCAAUUCUCAAAUC